AUCAAAAUUGCUAUGCACACACAUUCAGCAUAUUUCACACAUCGUAGCCGACAGAGAGCACAUAAGAAUAAUGUGCGACACGUUCGGGCAUAAACCGAAUUAAGUAUACGCCGCGUUUGCCGGUCGGAGGACCUAGCCCCGAGUACCAAAGCCCGGAGUCGCACAGCCGGAGUGUCGAAAUACCGGACUCCAAGCCGCAAGAACCAACCACACACACACACACACACACACGCACGUAAACACACUUUACGCCAAGUCGCAUCUUUAUGCGUUGUAGCUGCUCCAAAGUGGCAAGCAAACACCCCACUCCGCCCACAAUUUUGCCAACCGACAGCAUGUGCU
ensembl:ncRNA lncRNA:CR45740 long non-coding RNA:CR45740